rnacentral:rRNA from 1 species
CCCGCACAAGCGGUGGAGCAUGUGGUUAAUUCGAAGCAACGCGAAGAACCUUACCAGGCCUUGACAUGCAGAGAACUUUCCAGAGAUGGAUUGGUGCUUCGGAACUCUGACACAGGUGCUGCAUGGCUGUCGUCAGCUCGUGUCGUGAGAUGUUGGGUUAAGUCCCGCAACGAGCGCAACCCUUAUCCCCAGUUGCCAUCAGGUAAAGCUGGGAACUCUGGGGAGACUGCCGGUGAUAAACCGGAGGAAGGCGGGGAUGACGUCAAGUCCUCAUGGCCCUUACAUCCCGGGCUACACACGUGCUACAAUGGCAGGUACAGAGGGCUGCGAAGCCGCGAGGUGGAGCGAAUCCCAGAAAACCUGUCUCAGUCCGGAUUGAAGUCUGCAACUCGACUUCAUGAAGGCGGAAUCGCUAGUAACCGCGAAUCAGCAGGUCGCGGUGAAUACGUUCCCGGGCCUU